CGAAAUGCGAUAAGUAAUGUGAAUUGCAGAAUUCAGUGAAUCAUCGAAUCUUUGAAUGCACCUUGCG
rnacentral:rRNA from 1 species